UGAUCGGGGCAUGCCCAGGGCUGGGCUGGGUGUGGAAAAGCCACCUCUGUGAUGGCAUAGUGCAAGGGCCAGGCCACAGGACAGUAUGUGCCAGGUCACAUGCUGACUGCAGUCUAUAUAAUUGCAAUAUCAUUCUUCUUCUAAUCUACUGUAAAACCUGAACUGUGAGCAAACACCCAUGGAAACCAGUGGGAGUAUUUCCAAAGAAUUCUUCAUAUGAAGUCCCUUAAAGUUAAUUCUUCAGACUAUAGCAACAAUUCCCAAGGGGUGAACUUAGAAGUUCCAGGCACCUGUCCAGAAUAGAAGAACUACAUACCCCAGAAGACCUUACUUUCAGAGAGGAGAUACAACCCCUGGCAAGGUCACAAGACCUCCGCUUUUUUGCAGCUCUCCUCCCUACUGCUCAACCCAACUGCAUAUCUCAC